rnacentral:ncRNA from 20 species
UACACUUGCCGCACUUUUGGUGCUCGCAUUCGCGGAUCUCGCGGAUGCAGUCAAACGGGAAACAGGGAGCGAAGUCCUCGAAGCAAACCGGGACGAGCCAACCUGUGCUGCCCCCGCAACGGUAAGCGACCGCAACGCAAGUUGCAAGUCGUCCCUUGCGCGUUUCUGCAUGAUUGGCGCGGGUUUUCUCAUCACGCGAAACCACUGCAAGAAACGUGUCGAUGCCACUGCGCACGAAUGCGCGGGAAGGCGGGGCGAUGUGUCGCCAGCCCGGAUACCGGCCGGAGUUCGACGCGCACGC